AACUCACCAUUCUUUUGAAGAAGGCAGUGCUGGAGACAAGAGGCAAGGUCACGGAGGACUUCACACUAUAAAGGUCUGAAGUGGAAAGAAAGCAUUUCCUAGACUUUCCAAGUGUCUCAGCAUUCUUUGGAAUGGAACAUACUGUGAACUGCUUUCUGUCUCACUUAAGAAGCAUAAAUCAAUGCCAGAGCAGAGAGAUCAAGACAUAGCUCAAGACUCAGAUUCAAACACUUUUGGAAUCUUUUUUGAGCAGUGUGACUUCCUAAAAGCCUGGAGUAGUGGGCAGGCUGGGACUGGCAGCUCCAUGCCUUCUGCCACUUGGAACACCACCAUGCCUGCUGCCUUUCUUCCAGGACACUCCAGUAACAUGACUGGGAAAAGAGAAAUCAAAGAAAGAAUAAUGGAAGAUGAUUACAGAAGUUAAACUCCAUUUAUAAACCAUUGACUUUAUCCACUAAACUUCCUCCAAACGGAUGGAGCCCUAAGGAGGGAAGCCUUGAGAUCUCCCGAUAGGCUGGUGUGUACCAGGAACAAUAAAUGACAAAAUAAACUUACUUGAUUGAAU
rnacentral:lncRNA from 1 species